rnacentral:rRNA from 1 species
CACGCUGUAAACGAUGAAAACUAAGUAUUGCCGCGAGGCAGUGCUGUAGCUAACGCAUUAAGUUUUCCGCCUGGGGAGUACGCUCGCAAGAGUGAAACUUAAAGGAAUUGACGGGGGCCCGCACAAGCGGUGGAGCAUGUGGUUUAAUUCGAAGCAACGCGAAGAACCUUACCAGGUCUUGACAUCCCGAUGACCGCUCUAGAGAUAGAGUUUUCCCUUCGGGGACAUUGGUGACAGGUGG